GUCCACCGACCCUUCAACAAGCCCACGCAGUCCAGUCCAUCUUCGCUUGAGUGUGUCUCGGCCAGCAAACCCGCUUCUUCGGUCAAUCUUCACCCAACGAAGACCGAGUAGCCCCCAUCGAAUUGGAGACUGAAGCUGCUCCCUCCAGUCAAUCUUCAAACCAGCCGAACUCCUCUGUUGAACCGUGUUCCUUCCUCACGCGGGCAGCACCGAGCGAAGCAGCAGUCCGCGAUUUCUUUUCCGCCCGCUCACCAUCGUCACCUGCAGUUCACGCAUCUCCUUGGCCCAACAGAAUUCAGUCUUCGGGCCCAGCAAAGCCAGCAGGUUCCAGUUUUGGUCUCGGCCCAUCUUCAAGUAAUUCUGGCCCAGCAAGCAGCCCACAAUUCAGCAGCUUCAAGCCCAGUGGAUUAAAGAAAAUCAGUUCAACUUGAAGCCCAGUCCAGCAAUUCGAAGCCAAGCGAGAUUUGCCUAGUUUUGAGGCCCAAGCUCGUGAAGACCAGCCCUUGUGGAUUAGCCCAUCAGCCCGUGAAAAUUUCAGUAGGCCCAAGCCCAGAAUUUCUGUGGACUUGCAAGGUUUCUUGACCCGAUCCAAGAUCGUCGAAAGCUUGAUUUCGGCCGCCAUCGCGUCGCCGUUGCGGUGAUUCGAUCUCCGCUUUUGUCAAGUGAGUUUUACUCACUAAAGCUUUAUUAGUUUGCUAAUUAUGCUUAAGGUUGGUUAGAUUUAAUUAAGUGCAAUUAGGUGGUUAGAUUAGGUUAGAACAAUUAAAUUAGUGACUUAAGAAUGCAUGUUAGGUGGUUAGACCUAGCUAUUAGCAAGUAGAAAUGUUUGAUUAUUUAUUGAAUGUAUCUCGGGAUUUUUUCCGACCCGUUUCGGGCUCCAAUAAGGCAAUAUAGGCCUAAAUUGGAUUUUUAAUGUUUAUUUAUUUAUUUUCGAAAUUUAUUUAUUUAAUUAAUUAUUUUUCCGGAAAUUCAACCGGGAUGGCCGGUGACCGGAAUUCCGUGCUGAUUGUCGUGGUGCAGACCGUUUAUUUAUUUGAGCUCUACGUUGUGUGGAAUUGAAUUUAUUGUGGAAUUUUAGGAAUUGUCCUAAAUUGUUUGUUAUUAAAUAUUUGAUUGAUGGAUGGCUGAGUAUGGGUAUAUAGCGCCAGUACGUUGAUGGGCUAUUUAGUAGGGAGAAUGGUGAGACCAAUCAGGUACGAUAUGAUUGGACAUACGUGGUUCGGUGAUUGGAAGUAUCACUGGCGAAAACGGCGCCUUAAAGAACGCACGUAAAUGACUUAUAGACACACGUGGUUCGGUGAUUAUGGGAAUAUCACUGGUGAAAACGGCGCCUUAAAGAACGCACGAUGUUGUCUAUAGCCGAUGUCACCUUGGCGAAAACGGCGCCCUUGAGAGACACGUGGUUCGGUGAUCAAGGUUAUCACUGGUGAAAACGGCGCCUUAAAGAACGCACGGUGUCGGUGAUCGGUAUGUCAUUGGCGAAAACGACGCCCGAGAAACAUGUGAUUUGGUGAAUGAGUACACCACUGAGAAAGCAUGGUAUGAGUGGGAAUGACCUAGAGAGGGUCUGACUGACAUGUAAUCGACUUAGUCGAUUGAUCAAUGCUUGAUCGGAUGUCUUGAAUUGUUUGAAUAUCUAUGUUUAACCUUGAAUUGCAGGUUGGAACUGAGACUAAGGUAAGUCCUCUGACUCGUGUUGUGCUUAGGCAACCGUAUGGCAUAUUAGUUUACUAAUCGAGUCGUAGGGGGUAGGACUCGCUGAGACGUGGUCUCAUUGGUUAUUGAAUAACCAUUUCAGGACCCUGAGGAGAAGCUAAGGAAGGGGAACCUGAAGGGGAGAAAGACUUUUGAAGAAGAAGAUGAUCCAGAGAGGGAUCUUGAAUAUAACCCGGAUGUGGAUUGAGAUCCCAUCCCUUUUGUGAACCCUGUCUUGGUAUAGAUAGGUGUGAGACUUUUAUGUUGUAAAUAGUAUUGUAAAUAUACUAUGAGUUGUGCUGUUAUCGAAAGUAUGGUUGUGAAUUUCAAUAUGAAAAAUAUGGCCUGCUUUCCUAUCCCAUUGUUUUAUUGUCUGGGGAUUUAUAACUGCUUCCGCAUGUGCUUAAUAAAAAGAAAGGGUCGGCGAUACAUAGUCCUGGGAUAUCGCAUUAUAAAAUUGACCAAGUAGAAGGAUGUGCGCGCGUCCGAGGAUCGGGGCGUGACAUCCCCUUUUUGUGGUAUCAGAGCUAUGGUUAGGUAUUGGAGUGAUAAGGAGCAUUGACCAUGGGAUAGUUGGUAGGAAAGACCUUUAAAUUCAUGAUGGUGCAUGUCUGUGUUAGCUGAAUGCUAAAAUUGUUUGUGGUGUGUGGAUCGCUCACCUUCUAAUCCAGUGUGGAUUUGGAAGACGGGUUGCAGUGUAAAGACUGAACCAUGAGCGAGUAGGAGUUAAGAACUCCUAGUGAGAGGACAAUGUCCUCUGUGACUCGGGAUAAUGCACUGACAAAGGUCAGUACCCGAGGUGGUUGUGGCAGAGUGUUGACUCUGGCCAGCUCGAGUGUAAGAGUACCAUCGCAGGUUGGUACUGGUGUAGCAGCGUCUAAUGAUCCUAAGUUCGAUAGGAUCGUUCUGAUGCUAGUGUUCCUUGGGGACUGGAUGAGCCAGUAAGCUCAGGAUCAAGCCAUUGUUGUUGUUGUCGCUAUCGCAACCGUUGUUGUCGCCUUGCCUGCUGAGAUCCAGAGUGGAGACGUGAUCCGGGAGCGAGUCAUUACAUUCGAGCCAAGGUAUAGAUCCAGUUCAAGCAGAAAUGUGAAUCGAUCAGAGAAAAGACCAAGGUCGAGAGAAAAGGUAUUCUAUUUCACUCUCGAGGAAGGGUGGGAUAGUCAAGUCAGCACUGAGCAUAAUAGAUCAAGUUGUUUUUAGACGUGAUGAUGGAGAUCGGUAUUAUGUCCUUCAUAGGACACGAAAUUGUUUAGAGUAUAGCCAACGGGGAUAUCUGGUUAGGAGUGAUCCUAGCAGACUGAUGAGGCAACCAGAAAGAGUGCAUGCUUUCGCCUAAUAGAAGAUAGAAGAUGCACCAGAAAGGUGACAGAAUUGUAGAAAGCAGUAUGGAUAAAUCCAGUGUCUGAGUAUGACGAGAACCUGUUGUGUUGAUGACCAACAUGGCCAUCAGGUGACGGACUGUCAGUGGAAGUCUAAGGUAGCAUAGACAUUGCUACUGUGGCAAGGAAGGAAUGGGAGUAGAAUGGACCUUGCAUCGAUCAGAGAAAGAAUGUGUUGGAAGUGAUUUUAUCAGAGCAGCGUAGCAAAGUUUUGUGCUGAGUUGGUAGAACUUAAAUUGUUGACGUAAAAGUGAAAGAGAGGGAAUCACUAGCAAUAGUCAUGCUUGACUAGUUGCUGAAGUGUGAGUUUGAUGCCACAUGAAUAGUGUGGGCUCAUGGAGCAUCUAGUGAUAAUGAAUCACGAUCAUGGAGUAAGCCAGUUUAGUCCAUUAGCAUGUGAAAGUGUCAAGGUUAUUGGGAGUCAAAAAGAAUCUUCGAUUUCAUUAAUCUUGCUGGCUGAAGGUAACUUGUUUGUUAGAUGGAGGUUACCAAGGUUGCUUGCGCGAGUGUCUUGGGUAAGACUGAUUGGAGAACUAGAGAUGGAGGACAUCUCAGUGGUCUACAAAAUUCUAGAUGUGUUGUCACUAGAACUGUCAGACCGCCGUCAGAGAAAGAGAUAGAAAUUAUGAUUGAGUUAGCACCAGCAUAAAGCCACUCUCGAAUGCUUCUUACCAGGUAUUGUUGUUUGAAUUGAUAGAACCGAAAGUACGGAUGUGAAGAUUGAUGAAUGAGGAAUUCAUACAUAUUAGUGCAUCGCUUUAAGGAACAUCAGUUUUGUGGAAAGAGAAAUGAAAAUGGUUCAUUGCAAGCAUACAUCAACCAUUGUCAACUUAAUUGGGUGACUUGUUAUAAAGAAUGUUGAUGUCUUCAAGGAUCGACUUGAGGACAGGUUAUCUUCAGUUGAGGACCAGGAAGGAGGUUAUACUAAAGACAACACUUCACACUUGAUUUAGCCUUGUGAGAAUAAUGUAAAGCCAUUUGAUUUGACGAACGCUUCAGCCACUGUCAUAAAUUUGACAAACUGGGUGUUCAAAGAAUACCUAGAUCAAUGGUGAUCGUGUGAUGUGGCGACGUUCUAGGGUGUUCAUUAAGUGAUGAGGAUCCCGAGAGCCCUAAGAAUGGUCAUGUGAUUAUAGGUUAAGGAAUCUCAUGGACCCAGCCUAGAUUGAAUCAGUUGUUUAUGGACCGAGAUCGACAUCAAUGUCAGAGAUCAGAAGCUGUGGGGAUUGGACAGAUUACUACAGAAGGUUUGUGGAAGAAUUUUCAGCAUCAACACCAUCGUGGGUUUGAUCUCUUAAGAAAGAAGAGAAAUUCAUCAGCAUAGACAAGUACGAGGAUAGUUUCCAAAGCUUAAAUAAGAACAGACUAUCGUACUUGUGCUAAACUUUUCAUUUGGCUCCGGAAAGCACGGAAUCUUUAGUGAUGUGUCUUGUAGAGGAUGGGUAUGCAUUGAUACAACAUGAGAAGAUUGUUGUAUCACCGUUCCGCCAGUUGAGACCAAAUAAGUGAAAUGCGAAACGGUGUCGUGAACCAGAAUUUUGGCAGAACUAUAAUAGUGAUAUUGGGUAUCACCUUGGAGGAACGAAAUGAGUCAUUAAUGUGUUGAGCCGAGAGUCUUCAGUUGUGUAGAGACUGGCUAAAGUAUAGACUUUACUUGAAAAGGAUUUGAAAUUUGGUUUUCAAAUUUGAGGUAGGCUACCUUUUGAAUUUUAUAGUUGCCCUCAAAAAUUGAGCCAAAUGUUCAAGUUGGAAUCAUCGCCUCGUUGACAGACAGAGAUGUUCAGAGAUCUUAUAAGAUGAUGCUGGCAAGAAAGAAUUUGACUUUAAGAUUUAUGAGAAUGGAAAGUUCAGGUUCCAUGAGUGAUUGAAUACACUUGACAGUGUAGCACUCAGGGAAAAGAUCUUGUCAGAAGUUCACUAUAGUAUUGCAACUUUGAUCAGAUGGUGCAAGUAAAUCAGAAUCAACAUCAGCUAGAUUAGUAAGCUGAUAUGAAGAUAAAUAUAGCUGAGCAGGUUGCGAGUGUUAGAAGUGUCAGUAAGUGGAAGCUCCGUAAUGCGAACCGGGAGAAUUUUACCAUCACUUGAGAGUCCCAAGNNNNNNNNNNNNNNNNNNNNNNNNNNNNNNNNNNNNNNNNNNNNNNNNNNNNNNNNNNNNNNNNNNNNNNNNNNNNNNNNNNNNNNNNNNNNNNNNNNNNGAAGUGUCAGUAAGUGAAGCUCGUAAUGCGGAACCGGAGAAUUUACCAUCACUUGAGAGUCCCAAGUGGAAAUGGAAAUAUAUCACAAGGGAAGAUUAUCAUAGGCUUACUAAAGAUUCAGGGGAUUACUGAUACCAUUUGAGAAUGGUGGUUGAUCAAUAGAUGGAGUUGGUCCACUUUGGUACAGUACGAAUAGAUCUUGUUUUGAGUGUGUGACAUCCAAAUUUCGGACUCUGAUUUCGAUUAGAUAAAUUGGGCAUUUCAUCGACGCAAUUACAGUGUUUUUCUCUGAGUUGGCCAUUUAUGAGAUAACUAGACUAGCUGGGUGAGUUAUUACGGACCUUAAGGCAAAUAGACCUGAGAAUUCGACCAUGGAUUGACUUCUCGACCGUGCUCAUCUUUAGAGAUCAUUGCGGCACAGUAUAAAACCCGAUUUGAAAUCAAAGAUAGAUCGAUUCGACUGAGAUGAAUGACCGAUCGUGGGUGACUCCACUAAAUUGGAAAAAUCUCAUCGACCGACACUAAUUUGAUGUUUCUAUCGUUUUGGCGCCCUGUGUCCGUAUUUGAAUCUUUGAGAUUUUCACGACAAUCGAGAGUCACCAAUGGGUUGAGUGGGUUUAUUGUGGCUCGAAGAAAAUCGACCACGGGUCAUUUGUCCUAAAAAGCUCUGAACACUACCCAGUAGCCUAGGUCACACUAAAAGCGUGUCGAAAUGAAAUUAACCGCCAAUCUAAGUUCGAUUUCAAAAAUUGAAGAUUCUAUCUUAUCAGAGUGGGUAUAUCGAAGUGUGUGUGCAUCAGAUAAUUUGCCGGCAUGGAGUGCCGAGGAUGAAUUAUAUUCGAAUCUAAAUCAGAGAGUAAAUUUGGCAAAGUUUUCAGAGGGUUCUUUCUUAAGCAGUGUUAUAGAAGAGGGUACAGAAUUUCAGUGGUGAAAAGAAAGUGAAGAAGAUUUCAGGCCAAAGUCAGUACAGUAGUCAGUUAUUGCAGUUGCCAAGAUCAGUGUCAGAGUUAUAUCAGAUCUUGAUCAGAGGUUCCCAGUUUCAGCAGAUCAGUCAGAUAGUUUCUUUUUAAUCAGUACAGGGCAGAGUAUACAGGAUUUCAGUCAGUUGAGAUGAGAUCAGAAAUCAGAAAAUCGCAAGUCCGAAGUCAGCUCAGAAAUCAGUGUUUACAGUUGUCAGAUCAGUGUCAAAGUAAAGACUGUUCAGAACUGUCAGAAAUUUUGAAUCGUUGAGAUUCGAAAGUUUAUUAGGGAGUCGAGAAAAAGAGAUCAGAUAUGGAUGAUAGGGUGUCUUAUGUGAGAAGCUCAGUUCAGUUGUUGGUUCAGAAAGAGCAGAGUUAGUGUACCAAGAUGAUCUCCUUAAUCGAAAUGGUCAAACAACACCACGAGACCGAAGGAUUAGUAUGGAGUAAUGAGACUCAAUGAAAUGACAAUAACCCCACCUUUUGUAUAAGGAUCGGUGAAAGUUUAAAUUUCGAGGACGAAAUUUUUUUAAGAGGGGAAGAAUUGUGACAUCCAGAAUUUUCAGUAUUAAUUUCAAUUGAAUUAAUCAGGUCAUUUCUAUGCAAUUGAAGCCGGGGAUUAUGAAAUUGAGAUGCAUGAUGGGUGCAUGAGUGAGGAAAAAUAGCAAUUGAGACUUUGAGGCAUCAAUUAAUUUUUAUGAGAACCGAUGGAGAACAAUUGAGGGAGAUUUGAUGUACAAUGGAAGCCUUGGCUAAGAAAUUCGUAGCACCCCAUAAGACCUAACCUUUGGACCUUUUAAACCUUCUAGAUGAGGGCAUUUUGGGCUGCAAAGAGCUGGUGGAAGACAGCUAUGGCUUUGGUCCAAGAUUAGGGAACAAAAGAGAUAUUUGUUGUGGAAUAUCAAGCCAAGUGGAGCCCUCACCCCUCAUCUCUAUCCAUCUAUCUCUUACUCAUCUUCUCGUUCAAGCUGCAGUGGAUCGUUUCUCCUCCAUCCUCCGAAUUGUGCGACGCCAGCAGCUGAAGAAGACCAAGCUGCUUCCCUCCGAAAUUCCCUUCGUCCGCCAGCCUCGCACACGCGUCCAAACUCUGCUGCUUCGGUCAACAAGCGAGCCACCGAGGCUUCUCAAUUGACCCAGAAGCUCGCCUCGUUGCCACUUGGCAGCACCUGCGUUUGGUUCGGUCAACAAGCGGAGUUGAAGACAGCCGAAGGAAGCCGCACGUUCCACCGAGAACUGUUGUCCACCGAGCUUCCAUCUUCAAUGCCCGAAGUCCUCCUCCGAAGCCAGCUUUUUCCGUCAACAGCAUCAUCCACCGAAACAUUUCGUUGACCCCGUUCAUCCACGCAUCCACCGAAGCUACCACAUCCAGUGCGUCUCUCUCUCUUUGCUCCUCACGCUGCUACUCCACCACCGUCUGUUUCUCCACGCGUUCAAGCUCAACCCUCCGAUCAACACUAAGCAGCACAAAGCAACCGAUGUUGACCCAAGCAUCCACGUGGCCAGCGACCUUCAACCGUUGAGAGCUCCGAAUAUUGACUGAAGCAGCCCCAAAAGUCCACGAAGCAAGUCCACCGACCCUUCAACAAGCCCACGCAGUCCAGUCCAUCUUCGCUUGAGUGUGUCUCGGCCAGCAAACCCGCUUCUUCGGUCAAUCUUCACCCAACGAAGACCGAGUAGCCCCCAUCGAAUUGGAGACUGAAGCUGCUCCCUCCAGUCAAUCUUCAAACCAGCCGAACUCCUCUGUUGAACCGUGUUCCUUCCUCACGCGGGCAGCACCGAGCGAAGCAGCAGUCCGCGAUUUCUUUUCCGCCCGCUCACCAUCGUCACCUGCAGUUCACGCAUCUCCUUGGCCCAACAGAAUUCAGUCUUCGGGCCCAGCAAAGCCAGCAGGUUCCAGUUUUGGUCUCGGCCCAUCUUCAAGUAAUUCUGGCCCAGCAAGCAGCCCACAAUUCAGCAGCUUCAAGCCCAGUGGAUUAAAGAAAAUCAGUUCAACUUGAAGCCCAGUCCAGCAAUUCGAAGCCAAGCGAGAUUUGCCUAGUUUUGAGGCCCAAGCUCGUGAAGACCAGCCCUUGUGGAUUAGCCCAUCAGCCCGUGAAAAUUUCAGUAGGCCCAAGCCCAGAAUUUCUGUGGACUUGCAAGGUUUCUUGACCCGAUCCAAGAUCGUCGAAAGCUUGAUUUCGGCCGCCAUCGCGUCGCCGUUGCGGUGAUUCGAUCUCCGCUUUUGUCAAGUGAGUUUUACUCACUAAAGCUUUAUUAGUUUGCUAAUUAUGCUUAAGGUUGGUUAGAUUUAAUUAAGUGCAAUUAGGUGGUUAGAUUAGGUUAGAACAAUUAAAUUAGUGACUUAAGAAUGCAUGUUAGGUGGUUAGACCUAGCUAUUAGCAAGUAGAAAUGUUUGAUUAUUUAUUGAAUGUAUCUCGGGAUUUUUUCCGACCCGUUUCGGGCUCCAAUAAGGCAAUAUAGGCCUAAAUUGGAUUUUUAAUGUUUAUUUAUUUAUUUUCGAAAUUUAUUUAUUUAAUUAAUUAUUUUUCCGGAAAUUCAACCGGGAUGGCCGGUGACCGGAAUUCCGUGCUGAUUGUCGUGGUGCAGACCGUUUAUUUAUUUGAGCUCUACGUUGUGUGGAAUUGAAUUUAUUGUGGAAUUUUAGGAAUUGUCCUAAAUUGUUUGUUAUUAAAUAUUUGAUUGAUGGAUGGCUGAGUAUGGGUAUAUAGCGCCAGUACGUUGAUGGGCUAUUUAGUAGGGAGAAUGGUGAGACCAAUCAGGUACGAUAUGAUUGGACAUACGUGGUUCGGUGAUUGGAAGUAUCACUGGCGAAAACGGCGCCUUAAAGAACGCACGUAAAUGACUUAUAGACACACGUGGUUCGGUGAUUAUGGGAAUAUCACUGGUGAAAACGGCGCCUUAAAGAACGCACGAUGUUGUCUAUAGCCGAUGUCACCUUGGCGAAAACGGCGCCCUUGAGAGACACGUGGUUCGGUGAUCAAGGUUAUCACUGGUGAAAACGGCGCCUUAAAGAACGCACGGUGUCGGUGAUCGGUAUGUCAUUGGCGAAAACGACGCCCGAGAAACAUGUGAUUUGGUGAAUGAGUACACCACUGAGAAAGCAUGGUAUGAGUGGGAAUGACCUAGAGAGGGUCUGACUGACAUGUAAUCGACUUAGUCGAUUGAUCAAUGCUUGAUCGGAUGUCUUGAAUUGUUUGAAUAUCUAUGUUUAACCUUGAAUUGCAGGUUGGAACUGAGACUAAGGUAAGUCCUCUGACUCGUGUUGUGCUUAGGCAACCGUAUGGCAUAUUAGUUUACUAAUCGAGUCGUAGGGGGUAGGACUCGCUGAGACGUGGUCUCAUUGGUUAUUGAAUAACCAUUUCAGGACCCUGAGGAGAAGCUAAGGAAGGGGAACCUGAAGGGGAGAAAGACUUUUGAAGAAGAAGAUGAUCCAGAGAGGGAUCUUGAAUAUAACCCGGAUGUGGAUUGAGAUCCCAUCCCUUUUGUGAACCCUGUCUUGGUAUAGAUAGGUGUGAGACUUUUAUG
rnacentral:lncRNA from 1 species